AGUACUGUCUAACUUCAAAGCACGGCUUGAGAAAUGAAGCGUGAAACAAAGGCUCCUACCUGCUUAAAAUAAUAUGGCAUUCAUUAAUUGUUAGACACUGCUAUAUAUAUUUUGCGCAGAACUGCAAUAUCAAAGGCUCCUACCUGCCACAUGAUCGAAGAAAUCUCCAGGAGAUCAUUGUACGCUAACCACAGCGUUGAUAAUAUCUCGGCAAGGAGCUUCGUCAAUUGUUGGUCUCAACAUAUUUGAAGAAUCUGAAGAUGGAAUACCUAGGAUAUUAUGGAAAAUCUUCCGGAAGGAUACAUAAUCAGGUGCAGUCUGAAGGGAUUAUUAAUUUGCUUAAUAAAUUAAGAUUCGCAUAAAGGUAUGUAUAUUUUUUAAUAGGAACCAUUGAUCCACCGUUAUAUGAUUGAGAUUUAUGAGAAUUGUUCUUGUAUUUUAUAACAUUAUAUAGCGGGGCUGCCCCUGUCCUUUGUGGUUGAUUAGCAUAGGUACCAUUGACCAAUGAUCACACGCUUGUGCUACAGAGCUUUAGACGGUGGCCUGAUGUACUGUUUUAUAGCCGAGUUGAUGACUGUUUCUUAUCAUUUGUAUUAUUAAAAUUGUCUAGUCUAUCAGCUGAAUAAUUUUUCUAUUUCUUCAACUCAUUUUGUUUUUAUUUUUUUCCUUAAAAACCGUGUAAUGCACUUACGGGUUUUAAUGCUAAUUAUAUGUUAAAAUUCCAAA